UUUGAAAGUUACUGCAAUAGUUAAAUUAACAUGAGGAAGGCUUUCUUUUUCUCUCUUAGGUUUUGAUUUGUGAUAGCCUUUGCUGUGUUGCAUUUGCUCAAACUUGCUAUCUGUAUUGGUGGUGAUUUUUUGUUUUUCUUUUCUAUUGCCUUCAAUUAUUCUGGUUUGGUUUUGAUUGGGUUGAUCUUUCUGGCUUCUGACAGGUUUUCUGGGGUCUGGAUAAGAAGCUGGCACAACGCAAGCACUUCCCCUCUGUCAACUGGCUGAUCAGUUACAGUAAAUACACGCGUGCUCUGGAUGAGUACUAUGACAAGCAUUUUACAGAGUUUGUCCCUCUGAGGACAAAGGCCAAAGAGAUCCUGCAGGAGGAAGAGGACCUUGCAGAGAUUGUGCAGCUUGUGGGGAAGGCUUCCUUGGCAGAAACAGAUAAAAUUACCUUGGAGGUUGCCAAGCUGAUAAAAGACGACUUCUUGCAACAGAAUGGUUAUACGCCUUAUGACAGGUUCUGCCCUUUCUAUAAAACAGUGGGAAUGCUUUCUAAUAUGAUUGCAUUUUAUGACAUGGCACGCCGUGCUGUAGAAACCACAGCCCAGAGUGACAAUAAGAUCACGUGGUCCAUCAUCCGAGAGAACAUGAGCGAAAUCCUCUACAGACUUACCUCCAUGAAAUUCAAGGACCCUGUCAAAGAUGGUGAAACAAAAAUCAAGGCGGACUAUGCUCAGCUAUUUGAGGAUAUGCAGAAUGCAUUUCGCAGUCUGGAAGACUAGGCUUGACCUCUGUGACCACUCCAGCUUGUCCUCUCAAUUCCUCAUCUCAACUCCUCUGCUUCCCUACCUUGCAAGAAUGAUGCAACAGUACUUGAGUUGAUAAAUAGCCCCAUGUUUCCCUGUUCAUACUCAGAGAGUGCCCUUACAAAACAUUCCUCUUAGUUUGUGUUUGGCAUUGCUUUGUGUGUCUGAAAUGGUGCGUGAUGUGUGAAUGGGCCUGGCUGAGUGAGGAAAUGCUGUUGUACGCUUCUAGGGUGGGAAAAAUUUCACCUUUCCUCUCCCAGCUCUCUUGGUAACCGGUCUUUCAUCUUGGGAUGUAACCAGUUGAGCUGUACUGGCAGAGGAGGUGUAGAUCUUCAUGCAGUCACGCGGUACGUUCUGAGCUGGCAGUGAUAAGGGCAUUUAGAUCUGGCACUUUGCUAAGUGACUAUCAUGACAUAGAGCUCCCUAUUCUCAAACAUUGUUUUUGACCAUAUCAUAAUGACAUGUUGAUACAAGCAAAAACCCUUCAUUACUGUCCCCUCUGCAACCCUUGGCUGAGUCCCUUGGUAUUGAAAUGGGGUAGUUCUGAAUCUCUCCAAGAAGGGACUAACUCACUAAAAGGUGGGCAUGUACUGGCUAGUAUACUUUUGUGCACUGGAGAAAUAGAAUUUUAUUUUCCUACUUAAUACAGAUAGGACUGUUGGACUUGGCAUCAGCUAAAAUCAAAGCC